rnacentral:rRNA from 1 species
UACGUAGGGGGCUAGCGUUGUCCGGAAUCAUUGGGCGUAAAGCGCGCGUAGGCGGCCCUGUAAGUCCGUUGUGAAAGUCAAAGGCUCAACCUUUGAAAGCCGAUGGAUACUGCAGGGCUAGAGUCCGGAAGAGGCGAGUGGAAUUCCUGGUGUAGCGGUGGAAUGCGCAGAUAUCAGGAGGAACACCGGUGGCGAAGGCGGUUCUCUGGGCCUUACCCGACGCUGAGGAGCGAAAGCGUGGGGAGCGAACAGG